GAUGAACGCUGGCGGCGUGCCUAAUACAUGCAAGUCGAACGGUGUAUCGCAAGAUACAUAGUGGCGAACGGGUGAGUAACGCGUUGGUGACCUGCCCCGAAGAGUGGGAUACCAGUUCGAAAGGACUGCUAAUACCGCAUGCGGUUCAUGAGAUUAGAGGCUUAUGAACCAAAGGAGACAUUCGCUUCGGGAGGGGCCUGCGUCCCAUCAGCUAGUUGGUAGGGUAACGGCCUACCAAGGCGAUGACGGGUAGGGGACCUGAGAGGGUGGCCCCCCACAAUGGAACUGAAACACGGUCCAUACACCUACGGGUGGCAGCAGUAGGGAAUAUUGCAAAAUGGGCGCAAGCCCGAUGCAGCAACGCCGCGUGGGCGAUGAAGGCCUUGGGUCGUAAAGCCCUUUUGAGGGGAUGAGGAAGGACAGUACCCUCAGAAUAAGCCUCGGCUAACUACGUG
rnacentral:rRNA from 1 species